rnacentral:rRNA from 1 species
AAGCGAAAUAGUGAUAUAGAGCAAAACCCUAAAAACGGUACUCAGUUCGGAUUGAAGGCUGAAAUUCGCCUUCAUGAAGCUGGAAUUGCUAGUAAUGGCAGGUCAGCAUACUGCCGUGAAUACGUUCCCGGGCCUUGUACACACCGCCCGUCACACCAUGAGAGUUGGGAAUACCCGAAGCCUGUGAGCUAACUGUAAGGAGGCAGCAGUCGAAGGUAGAAUCAAUGAUUGGGGUGAAGUCGUAACAAGGUAAC